CCUACGGGAGGCAGCAGUGGGGAAUCUUGCGCAAUGGGCGAAAGCCUGACGCAGCCAUGCCGCGUGAAUGAUGAAGGUCUUAGGAUUGUAAAAUUCUUUCACCGGGGACGAUAAUGACGGUACCCGGAGAAGAAGCCCCGGCUAACUUCGUGCCAGCAGCCGCGGUAAUACGAAGGGGGCUAGCGUUGCUCGGAAUUACUGGGCGUAAAGGGAGCGUAGGCGGAUAGUUUAGUCAGAGGUGAAAGCCCAGGGCUCAACCUUGGAAUUGCCCUUGAUACUGGCUAUCUUGAGUACGGAAGAGGUAUGUGGAACUCCGAGUGUAGAGGUGAAAUUCGUAGAUAUUCGGAAGAACACCAGUGGCGAAGGCGACAUACUGGUCCGUUACUGACGCUGAGGCUCGAAAGCGUGGGGAGCAAACAGGAUUAGAUACCCUGGUAGUCCACGCUGUAAACGAUGAGUGCUAGUUGUCGGCAUGCAUGCAUGUCGGUGACGCAGCUAACGCAUUAAGACACUCCGCCGUCGGGGAGGUACGGUCGGCGAAGAAUUAAAACUUAACGAAAGGAAAGUUAGUACGGCGUGAGACGUGCCGAACGGACGACGACGAGGGGAGGUUAGG
rnacentral:rRNA from 1 species